UCUGUGUACUCCAUCCUCUGCACACUGCAGCUGAGCCUCCUCCACACCCAAUGCCCUCCCCGCUCCUGCCCUCCCGAGGCCGCUGCAGCCCAGAGGAGCAUCGAAUUAUCCCCUUCAGGAAGCACGUUGUCAGGGAGGAGCGAUGGUACAGCUGGGGGAUGGCGGUCAAUGUUUAUUCCACCUCUGUGACCAGCGAGAACCUGAGUCGUCAUGACAUGCUGGCAUGGGUCAACGACUCUUUACAACUCAGCUACACCAAAACUGAGCAGCUGUGCUCAGGUGCGGCGUACUGUCAGUUUAUGGACAUGCUCUUCCCCGGCUGUAUCUUACUGAAAAAAGUGAAAUUUCAGGCCAAGCUGGAACAUGAAUACAUCCACAACUUCAAAGUCUUACAGGCUGCCUUUAAGAAGAUGGGCGUAGACAAAAUUAUUCCAGUAGAGAAACUAGUGAAAGGAAAGUUCCAGGACAACUUUGAAUUCGUCCAGUGGUUUAAGAAAUUAUUUGAUGCAAAUUACGAUGGGAAGGAUUAUGACCCUCUAUUGGCCAGACAAGGACAAGACGUAGCGCCCCCACCUAACCCAGGAGACCAGGUCUUCAACAAGCCCAAGAAACCAAUUGGCACAGCAGUGCCCCAGAGAACAUCCCCUACGGGCCCCAAGACAAUGCAGCCCCUAGCACGAUUGCCAAACGUCACCCACCCUGUACGGAAAAACCCACCCAUCACCCGGAACGGUGGCAAUGACUUGGAUUCACGGAUCGUAGAACUCAACCAGCAGUUAAUGGAGCUGAAGCUGACAGUGGAUGGGCUGGAGAAAGAACGAGAUUUCUACUUCACUAAGCUGCGAGACAUCGAGCUGAUCUGUCAGGAGCAUGAGAGCGAGAGCAAUGGCAUCUUGUCCAAAAUCAUCGACAUCCUGUACGCCACAGAGGGGGUGUCAAAAGUCUGACUUGUAUCUUAGUGCAGACUUCUGGGAAAAUCAGUAAGCCAAUCACACAAGCAGGAAAUGACAUUUUCAGAACACCUCCAGAUAGCCAUUUUGCUUUGCAUUUUACAGAAAAUUACAGCGCUGAAAAUUGAAAAGGAAAGGAUGGAUUCGCUCCACCAGAUGACGAUGAAAAUGAGGAGCAUCAGCCAGAGGAUCAGGAUGAAUACUAACCAUACAUCUUUGCACUUCUUCCUCCUGGUCGCUGUGGCCCUGCUGCAUCAUCCGGGGAGGCUCCUUGUUGCCCAUCACCCAUCAACCAUUUUGCAGUAUGAACAUUUUAGGUUGGGAUCAGUACAUCCGCUCCUGCACUGUCAUCUAUCAUCGCAAUCUAUUGGGCAUCCCUCACUUUUCCCCCCUUCGGGCCACAUAUUCGCGAAGCGUGAACUUUGCAGUGGCGAAUGUGGAAGUGAUGUCUCCUAGGGCAUGGAUUGUUUUGCUUUUGCUGAACAUGGCACUUCAUUUAUUUAUCGGGAGAUCAUUACUGGCCCCUCUUUGGGGGGAAUUUAUAGCUGAUAUCAUUUGUCUUUGUUAACCCCUUUUUAACUCGAGCUCUGGUUGGAUGACCCACAUGGGAUUAUGCUUGUUGUGUUUUUAUACCUUUAGACCUGUCUUCCUGUUUUAUGGUCAUUUCAUCUCCUUGUCCUUUAUUCCUAAUUCUUCUUUGUUUUCCUGAAAUAGUGUAUUUGGAAUGGACGGCACAGUGGUGGGCAUUUAUAUAUUAAUUAUUAAGCCUUAAAUCAAUUAGAUAGAGCCUUAAAAUGAAUUUGUCACUGACAUGAGCAACUCAAAUUAAACAUAUGAAGAAAAAUGUGCAUAAGUAACAAUUGCCUUCAAUUUUCGGUGAAUACCUUUUAACAAUCAGUAGAUCCAGAUAUAUCAGUAGCCAAAGUUAUAUGGAAAUCUCCACUUUUCCUGUAAAAUGUAAGCUUGACACUGCCUCUUCCACUUCGGAUUGCCUCUUUAAUAGACACUUAAACAGUCUAUCACAUUAAAGGUCCAAUGGGACGAUUCGAGAGGUAGAAAUAGGCAAAGAGAAUUUUUACGUUUACAGGAAUUGCCAAUCAACCCUUUCUCUGUUAACAAUUUGAGAGACCUAGCCUGUAAUAGGCUACAAGUGCUGCUGUUGUUUGACGAUUACGGGUUUUAUAGCAUGACCCCUGCUUUGUCCUGUGGUUUCUCCCAGCAACAUCUACAUCACAACCUUGAGCUGUUGUGGCUUAGCAGCUGGUGGAAGGAACCACAGCACACAGCAGAGGAGGCACUACCUGACACAUCAGAAAGUGUCGGAUAGCAGUGGCACCCAUAGAUUUUCCAAAGAGUGAUGAUUUGACACACCACAGAAAGCAUAACCCUUCUUUUACAGGCUGGAUCUUUCAGCUUUUUAUGUGUCUGGAUCUACUAGUUGUUUAUGGCAUGUGGUUUGAUUGAAGGCAACCUGUGCAUCUUUUUCUAUACACUCAAUUUGGUUCAUGAUAGGUUUCGUUUAAAGGGCAAACCCACCCAAUGUUAAUUAAUGAGCUUUUUGUAGACUAUGUUUAAUGCCAUUGCUUGCAGACUUAUUAAAAAGCUUCUGGGGUCACGUUGAGCAGACCUUUUGGUUGUACUGCACUUGUGACUUCACUUGUCAUCAUGCUGA